rnacentral:ncRNA from 2 species
CGAUGGAGUUCGCCGUGAACCGCCCGAACGGGCUGAUGACUCCUGGUUGUAU